rnacentral:lncRNA from 7 species
AGACUGAACAAGGAGCUCCAAUUGAGACAGUAUGAAUUAAUCUUGUCACGAUGACAGGAAACUAAAUGCAAGCUCCAGGUUCUUCCUAUGGAUUUAUUUCUUGAGUGAUGGCUCUUGAAACAGUUUUUCCUCAGGAACCCAACAUCUUUCACCAUUUUCCACUCUACAUGCCCUGUGGACUGAGCCUUCUCUAAGCUAUUUCCAGAGACAAGCAGCAAGUCUUGUCACAGGCUGUUCUCAUUGAGAUCUAGAUUUAACAAAAUGGAGGGUUAUUAUCAUUACAGCUACAGGAGAUGGACACUGUCUAAUUAAUAGCAACCCGGGGUUCCACCGCAACCCAUCUAUCACAGAAGUGUGAAAAUUCAUACGUUACACAUCCCAGAACAGGACCGGUGUUCAUUCCCUCUUUAACCAUGAGUCCUUGUUGUCUUAAUCCCUGGUGCCUAUUUGUAGACCUUGUACCUAUUUGUGGAUAAAAGCAUGACUGUUUAUU